CAGAGCAAUUAACUUUUUUUGUUUUGUUUUGUUCUGCAGUUUUAGGGGAUAAGAAACCUGUACCUAUUAAUCUAUUUUUCAGUCUCAAGUGCUAUUGGACUCAGCAGGACUCAUGGGUGACUUAAAGCAAACAAAAGGCUUCAAUUUGAUAGGUGAACAAAGCUCAGAAGAGAAAGGACAGAAGGAAUAACUGAAACCUUGUCAUUGAAUGAUACUUUAAGGUAACACCAGAGAGUGAGUAGGUCUGGGGAACAGAAGAAGGAUAGACAGACCUGGGAUUACAAAGACAAUCAACAGGCUUACAGAAGCCAGGCCACGAAGUGGUUUGCCUGUAAGCUUUGCAUGUUUAGAUCCAAUAAUUUCUCAACCACCUAAAGAUCCUGUCACAUUUAGCUGUUCACACCAAACUCGUUUUGCAAAAGAUAUGAUUGGAAAGGGUCAUCUCCCUUUUUCUGAUUCAGUCAUCGACAGACCUCUAACUAUUGCGAAGAACUGCUAACUUUUUCAGCAUCACUUAUCAUUGCAAAGAUCUUCAGAAAACAUCUCCAUCUCUUUAAAUUUUUUCAAUACAAUUUUUUCUCCAAUGAACAAACUUAAAAAAAAAUUACCAAAAAAAAAAAAAAAAGUAUAAACUCAAACACCCUUUAGCUUCAUUCACAAGAAAAAAAAAUAAUAUGAAACUGUGGCAGUAUCAAGCUAUGUAUUCAUUUUAAACCAUUGCACAGCAAUUUGAUCUCCUGUGAUAAGGUUACCCGCUUGGUGGAAAAAGGGAAGGGAGUGGAUAUAAUCUUUCUGGACUUUAGUAAGGCUUAUCAUACUGUCCCUCACAGAAUCCUUCUGAACAAAUUGUCCAACUGUGAGACAAUCAGGUUCAGCGUGUGCUGAAAUGGCUCAAUGGGAGAGCUCAAGGGGUUGUAGUGAAUGGGGCUACAUCUGGCUGGAGGAUGGUCACUAAUGGUGUUCCCCAGGGCUCAAUUCUAGGGCCAGUCCUGUUAAUCAUCUUAUCAGUUAUGUGGGUGAAGGGGUAGAAUGAAUCCUCAGGAAGACUGUUGAUGACACCAAACUGGGAGUUGCUGAUGAUUGUCUGGAGGGAUGAGAAGCCUUGAAGA
rnacentral:lncRNA from 1 species